GAAGAUGAACACUGGUGCUCCGUGGGAUGAGGUAGUAGAUUGUAUAGUUUUAGGGUCAUACCCCGUCUUGGAGAUAACUAUACAGUCUACUGUCUUUCCCACGGUAGUACAUUGCCCGCCGA
rnacentral:miRNA from 1 species